rnacentral:tRNA from 2 species
UGGAAUAGCUCAAUAGGCAGAGCAAUUGAUCCGUAAUCAAUAGGUUGUAGGUUCGAUUCCUAUUUUCAGC